rnacentral:misc_RNA from 1 species
UCUCCGUAGGUGAACCUGCGGAGGGAUCAUUACAGAGUUCUCGCCCUCGCGGGUAGAUCUCCCACCCACUGUUAUCGUUACUGUGUUGCUUUGGCGGGCCGCCGGGCCCCGCUCGGCCGCCGGCUCCGGCUGGCGCGCGCCCGCCAGGGGCCCAGCAAACUCUGAAUGUUAGUGUCGUCUGAGUACUAUAUAAUAGUUAAGACUUUCAACAACGGAUCUCUUGGUUCUG